rnacentral:lncRNA from 1 species
CUGGUCUCUCAGAAGCAGGGAGAGAGCACCAUACAUCUUGCAGCAUGUCCUUACCAGCUCGGAAAGCUUUGCCCUUGCAUUACUGCCAGUAAACUGUUCCUAACAUUUGUUACGCUUUAUAUUAAUGGAUGCUACAUUUUCCCAUUUCAUACCCUACCAAACAGCAUGAUGGGAUGACAGCAUCAAACAGGUAGUAGGCAGAAGUGAUGCAUGAAAACUACCCUUAGCUGGAGAGCCAUACUGUUUUUUCCGCUUUCUUACAGUGGCUGUUGGUUGUUCUUAAUCACCUGCCUCACGCAGGCAGGCACUGGCUGGGGAGCUAAGGGAAGGGCUGAGUCCAAAACACAUGGUAACUAAGCAGCAGGACUUGAGACGCUGUCUGGAAAAACAACAGAGACUCACCUCCUACUAUUUUUCUUCCAGGGAAGCAGCUCCCAUUGCGCCAUUUUCCUGGCAGAAGAAGUUAUGAUCUUCAGGAAAAAGCUUCUUUCAGAGUGGGUUAUGUUUUAAUUUGUUGUUGUUGCUGUUGUUUUCAAGCUGUGUAUGUGUGAGGAAAUGGCAUGGAGUGGAGGGGGGAAGUUGUCUCUGACAUCUGCAGGUUCAUCUUGGAAAGAGUGGAAGGAGGGAGGACUGAAGUACAUGGCCUGCAUCUGUUCCAAGAGGAACCCGAACAGAAGGAGGUUGUACUUGUUUUUCUGUUUGUACUUCUGGAGAUGAUGCCAUUAAUUAUGUGUUUACAACACUUCAGCUCUUCUUCCUAGCUUAGGCUCAAAGCUCAUAGUCCUGACUCAGCUCCAAAAAUCCACUGAGGUAGGUGGGACAGUCGUUCUGACACAAUAUUUAAUAUCAGGCCUAAAGGCUGGAUCUAGUCAAAGAAAAACAUCUACUCUAUGAAAGCAAAUGUAUCUUAUAAACAGUAGAAGCUGCUCCCCACUCACUGGAUGCUGAAGACAGAGGAUGGUUGUACUUCCUCAGCCAUCAUCAUCCAUAGCAUUUACUGUGGGGAUGACAGCUGUCUCCUGAUAAUGAUUUCCCUAGCACAGCAAUGUCCAGCCAGCAGCCAGAUUUCACCAAGAAUCUGUGAGGGACACCUUGAGAACUCACUGAGAAUUGCAGUUACUUCCUCUGAACCAGACUGACGUGUUAGUUUCACAAAAACAAGGUCACAUAUCCCACUGGUUUUAUGUUUUUGUUGUUCUCUUCUUUAUAUGUUUUAAUAGAAGAACAUUAAAAAUUAAAGUAAGUUUUGUCACUUAUAUACAUUAUCAAUAUUAUAAGAGCUGCUCCAAAAGUAAUACCUCCUGCUUUAUGGUGUCAGCUCAGGAUGUCAGAGGUGGGCAUUGGUGGUAUGGCAGAAGUUGAACCUUCCCACCACAAUUCCAUUACGUUUUGUUGCUGUGUGACAGAUGGCAGCAGAGGGACAGUCUGACACAAUGAAGUCUGACAUGGAAGUGCAUAUGAAGCAAAGGUGUGUAAUUGAAUUCCUUCAUGUGGAAAAAAUGGCACCCACUGACAUUCAUUGGCACUUGCUGGAGACUAAACCAUGGAUGUGAGCACAGUGAGGUGGUGGCUGGUACAUUUCAGCAGUGAUGACAGCAACAGUGAGUGACCUCAACUAGUGCAGAUUGUUACGAGCACAGCAUGCGGGCUUUUGUUCAUUUUGUUAAUUGUUUAUUUACAACUAAUGGUGGUGACUGCGUUGAAAAAGAGUGUUUUAUAGCUGAGAAUAUUCUCUGUUCAGUAGUGUUAUUGUGCUCUCUGUAUCUGAGGUAGUUUCCAUGGAAACAAUUAGGAGGCAUUACUUUCAGAGCAACCCUCAUAGAUGCAGCCCUACACAAUUCCUCUUCACUCAAUGCAGCCAGGCAAGCCAAAAGGUUGGACACCCAUUUCUUGGCACGAGCAGGAUAAAGGACAUCCUUUCUUCUGAAACUACUCCUUCUCUUAAAAGCUUGAUGAAAUAUUUCGUUCAAAUUUUAAGGUGACAAAAGCAGAUGAAUAAUUCUCAUUUAAUACUGUUUACUGUGGACUUCUUUUCACAUCCUAUGGUGAUUUCCCUUUUUUUUUUCCAUCAGUUUGAUUACAGCCAGUCAGCCAUAAUUCAAGCAUCCUGGCAUGCACCAGCUAGUGUCACAGCAGUGUCCUUGGGAGGCCAGGCUUUCAAAGGAUGCAGUGAGUGCUUCUGAAAAGAAGCAAAUUUAAUGUCUUAAAGCUACCUUGAGAAUCACAGAACAUUGUUUGUACACUCACACUGUGCCCUAGCAAAUGCUCUUCAUCUUGCAUGAAUGGAGAUAUGCUGUACCCAUAUAUGUAAGCCAGUUAAUUGCUUCUGGAGUUCGCUUUAAAAAAAUUACUUCUAAAUGACAGGAUUCACAUAAACAGAGCAAUCUGAUGCCUGAACCUGUGCUUCAAAAAGACACCUUAAAUUUCGGUGAUAAGGAGCUUGUAUGAAAGCUUGUAAUUGAAAGCUGGAGUGAAUUAGGCAUGUAUGCAGAUAUGUGUAUUAGAAUGUGCUACAGUGAGGGAUGCCCUGCCAACAGAUCCCUGUGCCUUUGUGCAGUUUUGGUAGAGAAUGAUGGAAAGUUGCACAGAAUCAGAGGUUGCCACAGCAGUAUCUUUGAAACCCUCUUUUAAUAUUCAUGAAAGAGUCAUAAAAAACUUUUUUGAAUGAUAGCAUAUUUAAUGACAGUCACUGAGUCAUAUGAAACCAAUCUUCUUUUUCAUAUAACAAACAAACUGAGACAUCUGUCCUAUAAAAUAACAGUAGGCUGUGUCUCAUGAAGACACUGUUUUGGAUUGAUAUGAAUCUAAAUGAACAAAAACUGAUACUCGGGUUUUCAGUUUUGUAAUUGAUUUCCUAUAGUUUAGUCCUCUGAUAUGUGAAUGCAUCCCUAUCUGUACAGUAGUGUUUCGUGUAAUAUUUGAAGCAGAUUUUCAAUACCUCACACAGAAAAUACCGACUCAGCUUCACUGUUAGUGUGAAAAGAACGAACAGUUUCUUUCUCACAGCCUGCUGACAUAACGGUCUUCCCUUGGAGUAUUUCAGUCCUUGCUCAUCUUGGGAUUAAUGGAACCAGUACUUACAGCUGCAGUGCCAGAGGCAGGACCCAUAUAUUUCUUUGACCAGAUGAAAGCUAGAAUGAAAGAGAGGGACAGGGAGAUAUCAGGAGAAGUGUCCUCGUAUUGCCACGCGCUCACUACAAAUCCUCAUCCCAUCAGCUGUACUCCCAGGUAAUGGUGUCAUGUCAGUAGUGGUGGGAGCAGGCAAGUUUCUGUAAACUAGUUUUUCAGGAAAGGCACAAAUGAGUCCUGAGGUAGAUGUGGUCAAGGCAGAAUGGGGCAGCUGGGGAGGUGAAUGACCAGAGGUGACACCCUGCCAUGCAGUGGGAGGAGAGGGAGACAAGUGGGAAGGUGGUAGUGUCCUGUACCGACUCCUCACUUCUUGAGGUGUGUUACCUAAUAUUCAUUUCUGCUGUCAACAUUUCAUGAGUUUAAUAUGUUUAAUGUACAAAUCUUGAACUAAGAGUCUUGAGCACUGCAUUUCAGCAGGAAUAGUUCAAAGUGUACACUGUCAGUGCAGAUGUUCCCUGGUUUGGCAAUGGCUGCACUAGAUUGUCUCCUGCUGCUCUGCACAAGUAUUUCAGAGCUUGAUCUAGGAGCGUCCUUGGAAGGAAAUGUGGUGCAGUCUCAACUGUGAAAGGGGCACUGCCAGCCUCUGCAUGUUGGUUUGAGGCAGCAAAACUGUUCUGUGUGUCCUUUAAUUGUUAUUGCUCUCACUGAACUAUCCAGCUGUUUUUACUCCUCAGCCUGACUGAAGGCAGGAAUCCCUUCUGCGCAGGGGAGUAUACAGAAAGACAUGAAGAUGGUUUCUUAAAUGUUGAUACAAAAAAAGAGAAAGAUCCAGUUUUGCAUCAAAUAUCUCAUCAUUCCCUGUAUAAAACCACUACAGAGGACUCAAACCCAAAGGUCUCCCAACGUGCUCUGAUCCCACAGGCAGACAAGGACUCACUCACCACUUAACAUGUUGAAUAAGUCUGCAUCUGCAACUUGGGGAGAAGUGGCAGCUCCUGGCUAGGUAUCAGACUGGUUUUCCACUGGAACUUGUAACUGUGCUUACCUGCAGCUGGAGGGAACUCACUGUGAGGGCUGAUUUCUGUAAACAGCAGCAGAAGUUGCUAUCAUACAGAAGCAUGAGAUCCAGGAGAAGCCAGGCCUCAGAGGAGGUUAAGAAUAGUACUCUGGCAUCCAAAUGUAAGGAGCAUGAAAUCACUGCCAUCAGAAAAGAACAACACAAGAAAGGCUUUAUUCUAUCAUCCUGCACUACAAAGGGAGAAAUAAAUCCUGAGACAGCAUCAAACGCACCUUCAGAAAGUGAAGGUAAUACAGUGCUGCACAAAUGUGCUGUGUUGUAACGUUUGGCCAAAAAAAAGGAAAAAAGUGCUUUCUGUUAAGAAUACACCAUUGGCUGGAUAGGCCAAUGUGCUCCAGCUUAUAACUGGAUAUACUGCAGUUCUUUGCAAAGCACUGGUUUAGGACAUGAUGAAAUAGCUUUGCAGCUGAAGCAAGAGGUACAAACACUUGAGAAGAACAAAGCCGGUGAAACUGGGCAAUGUUUCAAGUCAUUUAGCAAAGCAUUUUUAGUCUCCUCUUUCAAGGUGAGUGAUAGAGUCAUAACACAUUGCACCAGUAGAGAAGAUUUGCAUCUAAAGCAUUUCAUUCUGCGAGUAUCAGUGAUUGCAAGUGCUGAACCUAGUGUUGGGAAGAAGCCUGUUACAGUUCUCCAGGUAAUUCUCACCUCUUUAAAAAGAAAUCAAUAAUAAUUUUUAAAAGCAGACUUACCUUUCCAUGUGUGUUCCUAAGCACUGCAUUCUCCUUUCUUUGUGUUUAGCUCCUGCUGUGCAAAAUGAUGCUGACCAGUCACCCAUCACAGUCAGCUUCUCACUUUCAUCCAACAUUUGUGAGGAACAAGGUUUGAUUUUCCAGCUUUCUAACCCAAAGUCUGAAGACGUUCAUCAGAAUCUGCCUUAUGUGUGGACCCUGGUGAGACCUGAGCAAGUUCAAAAACAAAUAAAAGAGCAAGCAUUUAACCUGAAAGAAGUUGGGUUUGACAAACCAAUUAUUCUACAGCAUUAUGGUGAUUACAGAGGAGAAACUUUCCCCAGGACAUGGAAGGUUCAGGCUGGCAGGACUGUCACAUCAAAGCUGCCAUAUGACAAACCUCAGAUUCCAGUGGUCAAGAGAGCAAACACAGCACAGAGAAAACUGCACUACAGACUGAAUGAUGGCUCAUCCUUCAUUUAAUAUCCUUUCUUAAGCUCACUUAAAUUCCUGUAAGUGUGUGAAAGGCAGGGGGAGGACUUCUACCGAAGGACAAUCACACAGCGUGUAGCUGAACCGCUUCCAAAAUCCAGCUACAUAUAAAAGAACAAGACUUUAUUCUUUGGGCUUCUUAUCAGACUCUAUUUAUAUGGUACCACAUCUAUAGUCGGUCUACAACAGCAAAGCCCAGUGUGCGUCAGGUGGGUUGAAAGGCAUAAAAAAAAAAAAAAAACCCAAAAAAAACUGCAGAAUGAACAAUGCAGUUUUAAAUUAACAGUAUCAGACUGCAAACUAUUUAAAGUAUGACCUUGUCGUGAACAAAGACCACUUUAUCAAUCACAAACAUAAUCACAAACAUCAAGAUGUAUUAGGAACUGUGCAAGUCUGCUCUGUUACAAGUCCACAGAAGACACCAUGCCUCAUAAACCUACUUCUGAGUCAUACAUUGCUCCUGCAAAGGACACUUUUGACCUGUACCAGCAUGAGUUUCCUGCUAUCUUUUAUUAGUUCAGUAACGUGAAUUUUGUGCUGAGAGCUUUGCCUGCUCAUCCUCUAUCACUCCCAAUCCACUUAUUCAAGGAAGAAGAUGACUGGGUUGGUAGCUUCGCUUUCUCUUAUGCACAUGGACUGAAUACCCUGUCUUAGAGCUGAUGAUGUUAGUCCCUGUGUUCUCUGCAUGGUUAAGUAACAGAAGCUACAGAGUUGGAGAGAGAAUGAUAACUUAACUCCUUGACUCUCAUUUUAGCUAUCCAUCUGAAUAUCUUGCGGUUUGCCAGAGCUGCUGCAAUCUCCCAUGUAGGGGGAUGUAUACCAACAUAUUUAGCCCUUCUCCAGAUCAUUCUAUAGGUGGAACUUUCACCUCUUUUGGACAUGGCAGCAUCUAUCUUCCUAACAGGUAGGCAGAUGCACUACAAGCUGUUGUUUGAUUCUGCGAAUUAGAGCCGAGAGCACAAAGCUAUACAAGGAUCUGAGCAACGUUCAAAACCAGAAUAGACAUGAGAAAAGUGGUAUGUUGUUUCUACAACAAAUACAAGUUUCUAUAACUCAGCUGGGUGUCUGACAGUGGGUUGGGUUUAUUUUGGUUGUUUUUCACCUACCCUUUUUCACUAAAAAAUGAAAGCUGAGCUUAGUUUUAGGUAACCAAACUCUUGCACAGACAGACUCGUAGUCCAUAGGGAGUCUGACAUUAGAGAAGAUCAGCAUCCAGAAGUGUGGAAAGAUAAAAGAAGACCCCUUCCGACUUGUUCAUGCCUCCUGGAGGUGAAGAAGAAACCUGUCCUCUCUGAUUCCCCUCUAAGAGUCAAAUGCCAUCAGGUGUUCAAGCAGCCCAAAAGCACUCUGUUAACUAAACUGCUGAGCUAGACAGAAGUCACUCGGAAAAGAGAAUUCCUAAUUUGUGACACCAGUGCUGUGAGGACAGGAUGCACUUUGGCUUACUGGAAAAUUCCCACAUACAGAGGAGACGGUGGGCAAAUGAGAGCCAGCCUUCUGGCUGCCUUGAACACAUAGCAUGAGGUGUGUGUGGAUGGCUGUUGCACACAGUCAGAAGUCAUCCUCUUCCUCCAUCACUUCAUCAGCAGUUCUCUUCUGGAUAUUGUUGCUAUCUGUUUAUAUCUCUCCAUGUAGUUCUCUGCACCUGUACAUGAUGUGGGCAAAGGUUAUCACUGAUUCUUAGUUACCUGAUCUUCGCCUAAUUCUCCUCUUCUUUGCUCCUUUAGUGACUUCAGAGUACUCAAGAAAUCUGGGAUCAAAAUUUAAUGCUCUGCAGAGAGGAAUAGUAGCUAAAAAUGAGGGACUUGCUGAUUUGCAGCUGCCUUCAUUUGUAAGGAAGUGAAGAUCAUUGGCUGAUGGCUGAACUUUUGGGAUAGGAGGAAUGUUUUACUGGAGCUGUGUGAGCAAGGAUUUUUCAGGUCUUGUAUAAAAGCACUGAAGAGAGUUCAGUGCCCUCACAGCUAGUGGAAGGAGGUGGCCCUUGUUGACAAAAAGUGUCCAGGUGUCCAAAAAUAUAUAUUUUAAACAGUUCUCAUUAAAGAAUUUAAAUAACACCUACCCAUUUUACCUAUACUAGCCAACUUUAUAUUACAGAAAAGCAAACAAAAAUAAUAGGGAAUAUAAAGUGCAAAGCUAAAAUCUCAGGAUUCCUCCUGAGACUUGUCAGCUGAAGCCUAAUGCAUUAAUGCCAUCCAUGUGCCAUUUUAGUUGAUUUGUUUCUUCCUUUAAAUUUACAGUCAAAUUUGAAAUGUUUUAGAACUUCCAGGACUGUAGCGGUAAGUGAAAAGGGCAGUGAAAUCACACUGUUUGACCCCAGCUUCUUUCUGCUUUGAAUUAUUAAUACAAGAAUUAAACCCCAACUUUUGUCUGUAGCAAAAGGACAGUGGUUUAUACCUUCCUUACAAGCCUGUAGCAUGAGAAAAGCUGGGUGAAGGAGUGGCUAUGUAAAGCGGCUUUUUAAUUAGAGACUCCUAGAUCAAAGCAAGAUUCUUGGAUUGUUUAAGGUUUUCCUGAGAUACACCAGGAAAAACAGGUUUCACAUUUCUGCCUAUUUACAGCAACACUGUAACCAUGAUGUUUAAUCAGGAAGGAGGUCUGGUGACUAAUGAAGAUGAAGAAAUGGUCAGAGAAUGGAAAUGGCCUCGGGAUGGCAAGCUGGCCCAGCCAGUUAUAGCACGGGUAAUAGUUAAAGCUUUACCUUUUUUUACUGUUCUUACCUCUUGCUUUCUCCCCCUCAUCCCUUAGUCUCUCUGAGGUGUGUGAAUCGUAAGGAACACAGAGCUUACAUUUCUUCUUCUCUAACAGGCUUUAAAAUGAAUAGUUUUCCAAACAACCUCUACGUGAAUUACCUCUUUUUUUAACUCCUGUUGCUCCUUCAGGCUAAGAAAGAAAAGCAGAUUGCCUACAACUGUUGUAACUCGGGAUUUCAACAAACAAGAAGCCUAUCCUCCCUGCUAGAUGCAUUUUGGAAGAGUCUUUUCUUUCUAGUCAAUAUGAACAAGCUAUUUCUCACAUUUCUCUUGGGCAUGUUCAGUAGCAGGCACUUAUUUGCCUGACUUCAGUCCUGAUCCAGCUCCCACUGAGGUGGGAGCCUCCCACUGCUUUGUAGUUACCAGAUCUCAGCUUAAAAUGCUGCAAAAUUACCAGAAAGGCAGGUAAAACAUUUGCAAUCCAAGUCAGUAAGCAUGCCUUCGGGCACAGAGUUGGUAAAGACACAUUAUUUGGGUCAAGUCGGGAGACUUUUUCUUCCUUUCUACUUAAUACAGGGCUACUGGUGGCAUCCUUGGUAUUUUGUACAAGGCACAUCUAAGACUGACGGAAUGACAUGUAGCUGAACACAUAACAGGUUUCUGUCACUUGGCUCAUACUGCCCAGGCUGCUGCUGAUAGGAAGGAGUGACUUCAAAUAAGCAAAUGGCAAUGAAAAUCUUACAGCUGCUAUGACUGAUAUAGAUAGACACUCACUCUUCUUUGGGUUUGAUAUGUUCUAUAUACUGACCUCUGUUUACUCUCUAAGGUCUGCAAGAGUUUGAGAUGCCUGCAAUAUGCUUUAUCUGCAGUUUUGACUUCGAUAGACUCUGUAAAGAUUAUGUCAGAUAACUAUUGAAACAGUUUGAAAUAUCAAGUACAGAUUAUGGAAUGUUGCUGUGAAUUAUGUGCUGUAGCAAAUGGAUGUAUUUCAAGAGUCACAUGAAAACGAAUGCAAGUUCAGUAAAGCCAUUAGUAUCUGCAACACACUUCUUACUUUGAAUAAGAAGGAGUGUCAGAGACUGGAAACAGGUGAUGCAAACUGGAUUAAAUAGAAGAUAGGAAAAGUGGUUCUAAGUGCCCUGCUUGGUGUCACCGGGUCAUUUUUCAUGGGCUGUGUGUGCAGGCAAUGCUAAAAGCUACAGUGACUAUUACUUCAAUAAAUUACAUCGUAUGCAUCAAAAUGCUAAUCUUUUUCUUGUGACUGAGCAGCCCAAACACUGCCUACUCUCACUAACAACAGCAGUUACAGGGCAAGCACAGACUGGCUUCUCCUGAGUCUAUCCUUGUCUGUGACUCCACUGCUUCUCUGCCUUAGAAGAGUAGACACAUUUUCCUGAGUGGUUCUGAAAGUUUCUCGUGCCUUUCUGCUACACAGCAUCACCUUCCAACUCAUGCACAGUCUCAGAAUGUUUGCUCUGGGCAUGUGUCAUCCAGAUAAAGGGCUGGGAGUUAUCAUCUCUACCCACAGCUCACGUACCAGAAGGUAACUUUGCAAGAUUCACAUGGAGAGUGACAGCACUGAGACUUGUUUGUAGAGUAACUCAUGACCAACUGUCUUGGAUAACUAACCUGCUGAGACUUCACUCUGCCUCUUCCAUCCAUCAUAAAUGUGAAAACACGGUGGAAUUAGUAAGUCUCCUUUGUUGGUCUUUCAGGUUAAUGAAUUCAUCACAGUGAGGAUUGCAGGACGCUUUGCAAUUAGCUUGGUCUACAAGUGGCAACAUGAAAGUAUGUGCUUGUCUUUGUCACGGCCGCGGGGUGCGGCUCUUCCGCGGUUAGAAGAAUCGGUAUGUUGCAACUGCUGCAGUACUGCACUUUAUCAACUUUGUUCUGCAGAUUCUGGAACUGAUGAGCUUUUCUAUAAAAUAUGCUUCCCGAUGUUAGCACUAAGAGCAGUGCUACAGAGUGAUCAAAUUAGGCCUUCCGGAGAGUGAAUAAAAAGCAGAUUUAUGCUGAUGACUACCUACUACAGAUCUGGCCCAAAGGGACACAGCUUUCCACGCGCUUAGAUUCCUAUUUAUGCUUCCUCCCCCCCCCCAGACUUAGCCCAGUACGAGGUGGUUAUACCUUUUUGUGCUGCAGAUGGUGUACUGAAUGAUGCCCUAAGAAAUCCUGAUCCAAAUCUUCCUUUCCUUCAUUUCUGUGCAGUGAGCUGGCUGUCUAUCUAGGUUUAUCAUCUAGCCAAAGCCUGAUAUCUUCAUGUCUUUCAGUUCAAUGUUGGGUUGAAAUACAUGUUGUUAGAACAGAUUUUUGUGUGUGUGUGAUUUUGGGGUCAGGAAAAAAUAGUUAUGAAACAAUUGUUGGAAAAGCAGAAGAAAUCUGUCAUCCAAGUAAAACAAAAAUAAAACAGAUCACGCUGGUUCAGAGUUAAUUUCCUUCUCCCUGUAAGUAUUUAGUCUAGAAAUUGUAGAAACAGACACUGUGGAUUUGUAAUAGGCAUGUAUAUACAUAUCAUUGAGUUUAAAAGAAAUUUAGAUUAACUCCUAAACUUCUGAGAAGUUAAAUUUGUCAGAGUUUUUAAAUGGCUUUUCAUAAAAGAAGUAUUUCACUAUAUGUAGCACAUAGGCUUAGGUGUUAGGAUGUGGCCCAUCGAGCAACUUCAAGUAGCAUCACCAUCAUUAGCUGAAAAACCUGACUUCUCACUCAGGCACAUUUCCACUGAUGUGGGAAAGGAAAUGUUCUAAAUGAGGGAAGAUAAAGGUAGUAAAUGAACAAAUUCAAACAAUUAACUAUUUUUCAUUUGUUUGGAAACAAAAAUCACUCAAUUUGUGUUUCAUAAGAUGGACUGCUGCUUUUUUAACAGUUUGUCAAUUCUUUGAUUAAAGAAGAUGAGAGACUCCUAAUAUAGCCUAUAAUACCUCUGUAAAACUGGGAUGAGAAUCAACAUCUUAUUCCCUCUAGCUCCAGAAAAGCCUGGGCCAUAACAAUAAUAGAGCUACCCUUGAGUUCUUGUAAGACUGCCAUCUGAAACACCACCAGAAAAAGGCUUCCUGAGAUUAAUGAUUCACUGGAUAUCUUUCCCUGGUGGAACUGGAAGGGUCACUGCUCUAAGGGACUAUAAGGAAAUGGGGAGAAGUGGAAUAGCAGGAGCCCUGGGCUCAUUCACAACCCUCAAUAGGUGUUCAGGAUUUAUUCAAGUACCAGUUCUGACUUCUUUACACCCAAAACAUUUCUUAACAGAUCACUGAGGUGGAAAAUUUGACCUUAAGAGGAUUUGACUUGAAAUAGCUGAUGUAGCAAAUUCCAUCUGAAGAAAUUUUAUAGAAGAGAUAUGGCAGAUAGGUACAGU